rnacentral:rRNA from 1 species
GACGAACGCUGGCGGCGUGCUUAACACAUGCAAGUCGAACGGAAAGGCCCUGCUUUUGUGGGGUGCUCGAGUGGCGAACGGGUGAGUAACACGUGAGUAACCUGCCCUUGACUUUGGGAUAACUUCAGGAAACUGGGGCUAAUACCGGAUAGGAGCUCCUGCUGCAUGGUGGGGGUUGGAAAGUUUCGGCGGUUGGGGAUGGACUCGCGGCUUAUCAGCUUGUUGGGGGGGUAGUGGCUUACCAAGGCUUUGACGGGUAGCCGGCCUGAGAGGGUGACCGGCCACAUUGGGACUGCGAUACGGCCCAGACUGCUACGGGAGGCAGAAGUCGGGAAUAUUGCACAAUGGGCGGAAGCCUGAUGCAGCAACGCCGCGUGCGGGAUGACGGCCUUCGGGUUGUAAACCGCUUUCGCCUGUGACGAAGCGUGAGUGACGGUAAUGGGUAAAGAAGCACCGGCUAACUACGUG